UCUUAUACGUUGGAUGGCGUUGAUCUCUCACCUUCAUUAACACUCUCAUGGACUCUAGUUUCCAUAAACCCUUUCAUCCAGUGUCCUGCAAAGUGCAAACUGCUAGGAAAGUUUCACCGCCUUUCGUUUCAAUUUCUCACCUAAAUACAUUCAUAUCGUGUUUUUUUUCCUUGAAAGUUUCAGUUAAGCAAAAAAAGCUCACGAAUCACUUCAAGCCAUGCCCACCAAUGUAAACUUCUCUGGUGUUUCCAAUUGCUAUGUUUUCAAGAGUCAAUUGCAGGAAUAUGCGCAAAAAGCUGGUCUUCCUACACCUGUAUACGAGACUAUCAAGGAAGGUCCUUCCCAUGAACCGUCAUUUAGAUCGACGGUGAUAGUAAAUAAUGUUAGAUAUGAUUCUUUGCCUGGAUUUUUUAAUCGCAAGGCAGCAGAGCAUUCGGCUGCUGAAGUUGCUCUCAUGGAGUUGUUCAAGACUGGUGAAAUCAAUGAAAGCGUCUCUCAACCCGUUCACGAGACAGGCUUAUGCAAGAAUCUCCUACAGGAGUAUGCGCAGAAGAUGAAUUAUGCAAUGCCAGUAUAUCAGUGUCAGAAGGAUGAAGCAUUGGGGCGGUUGUCUAGCUAUUCAUGUACUGUUGAGAUUGGAGGCAUUCGGUACAUUGGAGCUGCAGCAAAAACCAAAAAGGAAGCAGAGAUCAAAGCUGCCAGAAUUGCUUUACUGGCUAUUCAAUCAAGUGCAUCUGAGUUACCUGAUCAGUCAUUUGGCAACUCUCGGCUUAUGGUUAUUCCUUGCAGAAAGAGAGCAUCAGAGACGGCUACGAGUCCUGACGAGACUGUGAAAGUUCCCAAAGCAAAGAAAGCCCGGUUCAAGAAGAAAAUGUUGAAAAGAAAACUCUCUGGGAAAAAUACUGAUCGUUCUCACGACAAAAGAAAUGGUAUUUCAGUUACUGGUUCGGAUGAUCUGCUAAAAUCAGAAUGGGCUCAAACUGAUUCUUUUAACAUAUUGAGUUCAGAAACUUUAGGUACUGAAGUUAUGGGGACUCCCCAAGAUACAAAGAUAGAGACUGACUUGAGCGAGCGAGAUACACCUUCUGCAGAUGUUGCAUUGGCUCACCAUGUUGCUAUUGAUUCUAAAAAUGAGCAUUUAACCUCUCUGAAUUCUAUUUAUAGCAAUCACGAGUUUCCAUACAUGGAACAUUCCAUUGUUUAUGAUGAUCUAACUGAUUUGGUUAAAUUGACUGAUGGUGAUGAGAUGGCUUCAAUGGUUAAUGAUCCCUCUCUGGGUCUGGCAUAGGCUUCAAAAACCAUUCCUGGUUUAAACCAAGCAGUAGACAGGAUCUGUGCAUACGCAGGCCAAGGCUAGGUCCUAGAAAAAGUAGGCGGUAUCUUUGUCGUGCGGAUUUGAUUUUGCUGUUAGAGAAAACAAAGAAUGGAAGGAAUAGGGUGAACCAGAGAAAAAUGGAGAUGAAACAAAAUUUACUGCAGAGGGUUAUCCGGCAUGGAUGAGAUCAAUCGAGUAAAUACUACCCAAAACAACAUAGACAUGGUCUGAGGCGCCGGAAACAAUGCCGCCCCUCAACACAUGAGCGAGCUAAGACACCAAGAACCAGCCCGAGAUACGUUUAUCAUCUGAAAUUUCCUUGGACCUCAAUCUCCUCAUUUCCUAUCUACUUCGCAAAUUUUGGUUGUGUCAAACCAAAACCAUCCAAAGGUGUUUUGUCCAAGAAAAAAAAAACAUGAUUUUUUUAUUAUUAAGAAUUUAAUCUUAUUCGUACAUUCGCAUCCAAAUUAGAAACAAAGAUAUUCAUUGCUCAUUUAAUAUUUCUUGACUUCCACUGCAUCUUAUGGUUUGUCAUAUAACAAAAGACUAUAAAAACUUUUUAUUACAUAA